CUAUGAGUCUGGCAGGAAGCUGAACAGUUUUACAAAUUAGGCAAUCAAGACUCAGGAGUUAAGUGACUUGGACUGAAUUGGCUCAAUUUCUUCAAAUAGAGAGAGUACAAAGAACCCUGGUCAAUCUUACUACUGUCCUUGAAAGAAUGUUUUUUCCUAAUUCAGCAAGGCAAAACUGUUAGCAAAAGUGUUCUUCAACAAGGGAUUUGUGAUUGCAUGUUAAAAAGCUUUCUCUGAGGUACUUAUCACUUAAGUAACAAUGACCUGAUUCAUUUUUGUUUUUGUGGGGAAUUGUUAACAGUAAGGAAAUCAUGGUUCUUCACUGUUUUAGUGAGAUAGGUGAAUUUUGGAAUUGUGUACCAACCGAGCUAAGGCAAAGGUCUACAGUAAAACUGUUAGAAUUCUUUUUUUUUUUAAAUAUGAAUAGAAAAUGCAGAAAAUAAGUAAAUAAAAUCUACGGACCAGUUGCAUGCAGAGUGAGUUUGAAUGUGUCGUGUAUGAUGCUGAGUUACUGAUGUGACUGAGCACAUGUGACUUUGUGGGCUCACCCCACAGGACUUGGUAUUCUCUGCUGGGUUCACACUAUCUCUAAUUAGGGAACAUUUAAGCUUAUGUUUACUGUGUUAGAGAACAUCGACUUAAAUCUACCCUGUUAACAAAUAGAGUUUCUCAGGUUGUUUUGUUGCUUUGCUCUGCUGAAGUUUGAUUUAGACCAUUUCUAAUUAAAUUAAACGUGAAUGAGAGAAGACUGUUAGAAGAGGUAAACAUUCUCAGUUCUUCCAGAAUCCUUCCUAAAAAGUAACUGAACCACCCUUUCCCUGGGGUUUAGCAGAGAUAGUGAGUUGCCACAUGGAAGGCAGGGGCCAUGGUUUGUUGACAAUAUUUAUUUCCAGAACCUCAAUGAGGACAAAGCUUAUAAAAAGCAUUCAGUACACACUGGCUGAAUAAACCAAUGAGCUGUAGUCUGGGAGCCUUCCCGGGACAGACUCUCUGGACUCUAGUAAAAUGGAGAGCUUCCUUGGAGGUCCCCACACACUUAUCUUGACAGUGACCUUAUUGGUUUGUAAUGAAUUGUUGAUGUUUCUUUCCCACUAGAAAAUUAUCUCCCAGAAGUUAUUUUCUGUCAGCUGUGAAUCUCUAUAAUCUGUGAACACACACACACACACACACACACACACACACACAUAUUAAUUGAAUUGUAGAGGUUUUUAAUGUCUAGACUUCUUAUACUAAGAGGGUACCAUAGACAGCAUACAGGCAUGAAACGAUUAACUCAAAAGCAAAAAUAUUAUUAAGACAGAACUGAGACGAGGGUUCCAGUAUCUUGAGAGUCUCCCCUGGUCAGUGUUUCUUGUCUCCUUCACCUAUGCACCCAUCUGACAAUUUAAAAAACUAAAGCUUGGAGAUUCAUGUUGGCAAUUUUUUAUUAUUAGUGUACGUGGUAUAUAUAGCUUUUCCGCAAUUUGGUUGGUGAUAUGUUUUGCUAGCUUCCCAGAAACUAGCACCCUUCACCAAAGUGGGGGCUGUCUUAAGGUGUGCCCCCUUGCCUUGGGAUAAAGCUAUAGGCUAUGGAAUCACACAAGCCCGUGUUUGUAUUUUUUUUCAUUUUAAUUUUUAAACACUUGCAUAAAAUUAAGGGGUAAAGUGCAGUUUGGCUUCAAGGAUCUAUUGCUUUAGGGGAAGUCUGGGCUUUUAGAGUAACCAUCACUUGAAUAAUGUACAUUGUACCCAUUAAGUAAUUUCUCAUCCCUCAACCCCUCCCACCCUCCCACCCUUCUGAGUCUCCAGUGUGAUUGUUCCACGCUCUACGUCCACAUGCAUACAUUAUUUAGCUCCCCCUUAUAAAUGAGAACAUGCAGUGUUGGAUUUUCAGAAAGCCUUUCUGAGCCUUGGUUUUCUCAUCUGUGUAACUGGGAUUUGAAUGCCUUCCUGAGGGACUCUCAACCCUAGCUUAACCCCUCUCCUCUCCUCCCUCCCUGCACUAAUGCCUGUGGCUCUCUUCUGUCUGCUAGGGCGGGAUCAAAAGUUAAAAAUAUCAGCAUAUUUCAACCUUAUUUCAGUUUUCUUGAUGUUGUUUUCGAAACUUGAGUGUUACUCCUCCCUUACCACAGCUAGGUUAUUGUGUUCCUUCACAGUGCUUUUAGUGUUUUUUUUUUUUCCUGUGUCAUUAUGUUCUGUGUUAGUCUGCCCCGUCUGCCCCACAAGACUCUAGGCUUUAUGAUGAUUAGAGACUUUUUCUGCUUUAUUUAUGCAUGCCUAACAAUCAGUUUUGAAUCUUGCACAAAUGUUGAGUGCACGGUUAAUGAGGGAAUAUGUAGUGUUUGGGUUAAAAGGCAUGAGCUCCACAGCAAGCCUGAGCAUGGAGUCAGUGAGCUGAGGUGAAUGGGACCAUCUCCAGUUUCAAGAUGAUCUUAUCGGGAUCAAACUGAUGUAAAAAAUCUUAUUUUGUACUCCAAUAAAAGUUUAAAAAUGAAAAAAAAAUCAUAUAAUUGAAAUUAAAUGAGCUUUUUUUUUGUUUUCUGUGGUUCAUAACAAAAUACUUGAAACUGGGCAGUUUAUAAAGAAAAGGAAUUUAUUUCUUACAGUUAUGGACGUUGAAAAGUCCAAGGUUGAAGGGCCUUCUUGCAGGUAGGGACUCUCUGCAGAGUCCAGAGGUGACACAGGGCAUCACACGGUGAGGGGGCUGAGCAUGUUAGCUUAGUUCUCUCUUCCUCUUCUUAUGAAGCCACUGGUCCCAUGCCAUUAAAACCCAUUAAACCAUUAACCCAGGAAUUAAGUUUCAACAUGAGUUUUAGAGGCGACAAAUAUUCAAAUCAUAGCAUGAGCCCUACAACAAGGCCACUGUGUCACCCAGGUUAGUAACCAAUAAAACAUACAUUUUUCAUUAGUGUCUCUCGGUUGCUGAAGUAUGAGGACCCUGCCUGAUGGCUUUCAUCUAUAUUAUUGGUGGUCGGGAUGAUAUUAUUUUAUAUGUCCUAAACAGCACCAAAUAAAGAUCUCUAUAAUGUCCUUAAAUUUUUUUUAAUUUAGCUUUUAAAGUUAUUUGAGGUUUGUGGAUUUUGCUGUUUAUCUCACAAAAUAACUCUGUUUCAGUUACUGUGUCUUGAACUUACUAUUUUCACCAGUUUAAAUGUGUUGUGGGAAUACUGGAUGGAAUUCAGCAUAUGUAAGUUCUAGGCCCAUUUUUCUUUUUUAGCAAAUAAGCUUUGCCAUUAUAGUUACAUUUACAUUGCUUAUGCCCUCAAGGCCUAAGUCUUUUUUGUGUAGUGAAUAGGAACACACACACACACACACAGACACACACAUUUAUCAAAAUUUGAUAGUAUAUAAUUAAUUUAGUAUUAUCAACUUGGGAAUUACUGAAUUCUUUUUCUGUGCAUAAAGAUUAUCAAAGAGCAGCAUCUACUGCCUUAGAAUUUUCACAUCUAGCAUUCUUUCUUUAUAUUGUUAAAAUAAUUUGAAUAAUGAUCUAAAUUGGAUAUAAAUUCAGGUAAUUAUUGUCAUCAUUUUGUAUAAGUACUGUCAUAUCUGGUACUAGUUGUCUCUGACAGCAAAAUAAAACAUGAUGAUCAAUAUUUCGGAUUGAUUUUUUUCUGCUGGGAUGGUGUGAGCAUACACUGAUUAGAGCUGAUUUUUGCUGCUGAUCAGUCUCUAUGAGGCAAAAUUUCAAUAACUGUUUUGUUUUUAGGUGACUUUCUUCUCUGAUGUCCAGACCGAUUUGCAGAUUGCAAAGAUCCACUCUUAUAAUAGAAAGAGAUGCCAUUAGAUUAGAAAAAAAGCCACUUAUAACAGGAAUUACGUGCUAACACAGUGGUUCACCUUAAUGUUCUCUCUUUAUAAUGCCCCCUUUCAAGAUGUGCAUAAUUGAUAUUGCCAUAAGCACUCUCCUAUUCUUUUUGCACAGCUAAAAGAAUAGAGUGGAUUAGAAUACAGAAUAAAGUCUCAGGAUUGCACAACAGAAUUAAUCCUGUUCUAUGUCAUAAAAUAUUGCAUUCAUUAGAAAUGAAUAUUUUCGUUGCAAAUGAACUGAGACAGGCAGGUAGACGGAGUGAUUCCUUUUAUUUUGUUUCUCUUAGAAGGAAUGAUUCCAACAGCUGGUAAAAACACAACUAAGGUUUGGCAUGUGCCAAUCAGCUGUUUCACAAUAUAUUUUUUUAGAGGAAAACACACACACACACACACACACACACAUAUAUAUAUCUCACAAAGUAACCCUUUUCUCUUGUGGCAGUAUCUUCUUAGGUCCCAUUCAUUUUUACAACCCACAUGUAUUCUUAGCACCCUGUGAUACUUGCUGCCAGAGUGAACAUAUUUUCCCAGCCACAACCUGAUUGCAUGUUCUGGAUUAUACUCAUAUUUUCUAGAAAUAGUUUAAGGAUUGAGUUCAAUAAUGGUGCUCCCAAGGUGGGUGCCAUCUGAAAUCUAACACAUAAUAUUUACCUGCGGUGAUGAUCAAGAACCUCUCUUGAAAGAAUUAGGCCCUUAUGGAUAUUUUAGAGCAAUGUUUAGAUUUUUUAAAUAACAAAAAUGAUAAUGAGAAUGUUGAUGGAUUCUGCUUGUUGAGUGCUUUUUGUGUUUAUAAAUUUCCAUGAGAAAGGUGUUAAUGUGUCCAUUUUAUGAAUUAGUCAUCUGACACUCAGAACACCUAAAUAACUUGCUGGAGCUCACACAGCUGGGUGAGCGAUGGAGCCAGAAUUUGACCUCAGCACUGCCUGAUUAUGAAGCUGUGUGUUCUGUCUGCUUUCAGCUGCUGCCUCUUAUUUCCAGUUCCAAGGUCAGUCUAAAACAGUCCUCCCAAACACCCACAUAUGUUGAAUACUUGUGCUGAAGGCAGGUGGUGCCACGGGCUUUUCAGGGUGAGUGGUUUAUUUUUCAAGAAGCACAGAGAAUUAAUUCAUUAAGUGGAACUUGAGAGGCUACUCAAAUAUCUGAGCUGCUGAGAAGUUCAACCUUUUUAAUUAUCUGGAGUGAGACUUCCCACAAUGUUAAACCUUCAGAAUGGUGCCAAACUCAGAAGCUCCUCUGCAGUGAUUCUGAAUUGACAGAAUAGAGUCAAAUAGCCGAGAUGAAGUCAAGAUCUGAACAUUCCAACCAGCAUGUUGCAGUGGUUCUGCCACACAGCAAAAAGGAGAAGUGGGCUUUUGUUGCUAGUGAAGAGAUAAUGACCAAUUAAAAAAAUAAAACUGAGCAAAGAGAGACAAAGAAGGAAAUGAGACAGGGAGAAAGAGAGAGAAUGUAGAGAUGAGCAUAAAAAUUGCAGAGAAAGUGAGUAAAUAGUAGUGUCAGAAAAGAUAAAAAAAGGUGAAAUAUUUUGUGUAAGGGAUGACAACAGGGUGUCAAGUGACAGCUAUUCUAAGAGCACAAAAGAAAUCUGAGACUAAAGAAAGAAAUCAUUUUUGUGAUUAAGAGAAGGAUUAGGAAACAAAAAACAAUAUAAUUAUUGCAGAUAAUAUUACUAAGUAUUUUCAUUACACAUAUGAAGUACUUCUGCGUGUGAUAUUUCAUUUAAUCCCCUCACAAUAUUGCUGUGUAAUUGUUCAAGUGGAUAUUUCAGAUUUUCUUUUAGAAAUAUGGAAACUUAGUGUUUGAUUUGUCUAGUUUCUAAAAUAAGUGGUAGAAUUGAAACAAGAAAAUGUUUUUUUUUUCCACUGUGUGCUGCUAGACAUCAUUGUGUAAUGUUAAAAGUACAUCUGCCAUAACAUGGCUUUACCAUGUAUGCUUGGGGGCAUUUAAUUACUGGGCUAGUCUGGUCUUCGUUUGAAAUACCCCUAGGGGAUAGCGACAUGUAAAAAGUACAGCACUGAGUGUAUUUCAACUAUUGCAUUUUACUAACCUGAGAUUGUCAGGGUGCUUUUAUUAUAAAAUGGAGAUCAAGUAUGGAAAAAAGGUAUUACUUCUGUUACUACCACUUUGGUGGUUAUAGAAUGUGAUGAACUGAAACAUCAGGACCUGUGGAUUUUGCAAUAGAGACAAGGCCAAACUGGCUCACCUGCAGAAUAAACAAAGGGUAAUGUCUAUAAAGAGAAUUGUGAAUAACGGUGCUUAUCUGUUGUUCCUAUCUACCCAGGAUCUCUUUUCUCAUCUUCUUGGUUGUGAAUACAUUAGGUGGGGUUGACUCAUCUCCCCUUCUCUAUCCAACAUAGAUUGGCAUAUGCUUUGCACUGGGCCAGUGUUCUCCUUGGCUACUUUCUGCCAGAGUACAUGGAAAAAACAGGUAUUGCUCAGUUGUAUAUGGGUCUGGGGUUGCCACUUACCAUUUUAUCCAUGUCAUGGUGGGAGCCUGAUGGAAAACCCAGGAUAGCUGGAACCCUUGGCCCCACUGAUUGAGCCUCCAGAAAAUAGAAUCACCUGAAUCCUUGGACUUGCCGUUUGGGUUAACAAAUCAAUCCUCAAGCUAGUAUAAGUUGAGAUUAGGUCACUGUAAAUCAGUCAAAUACAAAUGCAGGGAGCUGGUGCAUCAUAAUAAUAACCAACACUUAUUGAAUGUAUGCUAUGCUAGUAAGCAUUCUUUAAUCAUUUCAUUCUCGCAGCAAACCUGUGAUGUGCAUGUCAUUACUGUCUCCAUUUUACAGGAAGAAACAGAGACAGACUGGUUAGAUGACUUGUUAAAGAUCAGAGAUAGGAAGAAGCAGAGCUGGGAUUUGAACUAGGAAGUCUAGCUGUAUUCUGUGAACUCUAGUCAUUCUCUAUCUCUCUUUGUGUAUAUCCCCUUGCCAUAUAUGUGUAAAUAUCUUUAUCUUUCUAUAUCUGUAUCUAUAUCUGUCUAUAUGUUAUCUCUCUGAAAUAUGCAAAUUCUUGGCAAGAAUUGAAUUUAUGUUACAAGUUAGAACAUUAAUGUUGGUUCUGUGCAUGGAAAUUAGUAUCUCAAAUUUCAUCCCAGUGCGGUGCACAAGAUAGAAAUUACUAUUAGAGCUUAAAAAGAAACUAUAGAUCUAUGAGUGUUUUGAAAAGAGCACAAUAGGAAAAUUAAAAUAAGUAAGUAUAAUAUUGAAGCAUCCAUAUUAUAUGACAUUAAGUCUCAGUAAGAGACUGAGUUAGCUGAUCAAAUCUUUUAGCAGCAAAAACAAAACAAAACAAACAAAAAAACAGAGGCAAUCAUGUAUAAGCACUAGGGCAUAUUUAAUAUGACUGUUAUUGAGGAGAAGACUGCAGUAGGGAAGAAUCUUUGAACAGAUACUUACUAAAAACUAAAAUAUUUUGUGAGUCAGAUCAUUUAGCCAAUCCAGCUACUAAGACAUUUCAAAGUUGGAUGAGUUAUCACAAAGCUAGAAGACAAAAAACACUGUACUGGGGAAGCUGUCUAAUUUAGUUAAUCCAGUUAACUAACUUAGGCAGUUAGUGAGUCCGGUGCCAAGAUACAUGUCGAAUAGAAAGGGUUAACUUUUUCACCCUGCAUCACUGAUAUAAGGUGCUCUGAAAAGUAAAUUUUAUUACUAAGAAGUGUCAAGGUCCUAUGUAACUUCCUUUUAGAAGACAAAAAGCAAGAAAAGUAGGUAAACACUUAAAAUCUGCUCUUAUACUUUUGGAAAAAAGAAUUUUCUAAGAAUCACGGUUAUGAUUUAGGACAGGGGUAAGCAAAUGGGCCAAAUCUGGCCCACCACUUGUUCUUGUAAGGCCUGUAUACUUGGAACGAUUUUUAUGUUUAUAAAUGGUUGAUAAAAGUUACAAGAAUAAUAAUAUUGUUACUUGUAAAACUUACAUGAAAUUUAAAUUUUAAUGUCCAUACAUAAGUUUUAUUGGAAUAUAGCCACACUAAUUUCCAUAGUGUCUAUGACUGCUUUUGUGCUAUGCCAGCAGAGUUGAGUAAUUGUGAUAAAGAUUGUAUAACCCGCAAAGCCUAAAACAUGUACUGCUCCUUUACUGAAGCAAUUUGCCAACCCUCUAUUUGGAUAAUAGGGCAAUGGUAUUGGGAGGUACUUGAAAUGUUGUAAGUAGGAAGCAGAGUUAGUGCCUAGAAACAAACAAAGCGACAAAUAAGUAAGUAUAUGUGGGUAGGUUUUAAACAUCCUUCCUAUUUUCUUGAUAUUGCUUCCUGAAUUAAAACCAUAAAUCAAAAUUGCAUCCAAAUAUGCAGUACAGUUUUAGAACUUCUUUUUUUGUGACAAGUUUACACAAACCUUCUUUGGGAGGUAAUGUAGUGGGUUAUCAAUUUCAGUAUAACAUAGAACACAUGUAUUUAAUAAUAGAAUGACUUCAUGAACACUGUGUCCUGUGGAAAUAUGUAGUCUCAUAAAGAUAAAGCAGGGAUACAUUUGGGUUUUGGAAUGAGGUUUUCUUAAAAUACCCAUGUAAAUUCUGAAAACCUAGGCAUUCUUGGACUUCAUUCACCUCAUCAAUGGACUUGGAAAAGGAAGCAGGAUUCAAAAAAUGGAGGUCAGCUAGCAGAAAGAUUAUGAUCCCCAUUCACCAUGGUACUGCAAUCUAGAAAUUGCAGUUCUGGUGUGGACAUAGGAGAGGCAAAGAAAAGAGUGCUAAAAAAGGGCCAAGAAAUUCCAUAUUUUGGAGUUGACUGUCAGAUUGUUGUGCUUAUGCUGUUUGUCUGUUUAUAAUUACCAACCAGCUUUUUUUCCUAUCUCUACAUUUAUAAAUAAAUCUCUACAUUUAUAACCCAUGUGUUAUAUUUAUUUAAAAACAUUUGAAGCAUAUAAUGUAUACAAAAUGUAUAUCUCACUAUGCAGGCUGAAGAAUGAUAAUUUUUCCAUGUACCCAUCUUUAAUCUCUCAAACACUAUGUCCUCUGUGUUCUUAGGAAAUACUUUUCCUAUUUUCUAUUCUAAUUGCUUGUGUAUAGGUGUCCUAAAUUCUUCUGAAAUACGGUGAGUUUCUUCAAUGCAUGAUUCUUGACUCAUUCAUGUUUGGUUCCCAUUACCUUCAACAUGUAAGGAUUUAAAUAAAUAUGUGUAGAGUCAGUGAGUGAGUGAAUGCAUUGCAAGCUCUCUGUGGUGAGAACUCAUUUAUUAUCGGACUAUUCCUUGCAGUUACUAUGCUUAGGGGCAAUUAGCAAAUGUUGGAAUUGAAUGCAUUGAAAGGCCUGUUAUUCUAUCUAGGCACCUCUUGAAUGUUUGUGCACAGGCACUGUGCUGUGUUAUGUGUUGUUCAUUCAUUUUCAUGAAAGUAAUAAAACAUAAAACUUAUUGAGGAGUUUGAGAUUACCCUGUCUGUUCAUUGAAGACCUCAUAUUGUCAUAUUAAUUGCAAUUGUAAUUGCCACAUUCUUUCUUUCUCUUUCCAACUAUUUCUGGUAGUCAUGUCAAGUUGAGUUUAUAUGCUAGGUUUGAUGAAGAGGCAGCAUGGAGUGUGAUUGGAAAAAUGGAGUGUGAUGUAAUGGAAAUAAACUGGGGAGAACUUAGCAGGGCCAGUUGGUUCAGAUUCUCCUCUGUAUCUUGUUUCUUCAGAGAUAGGAUUUUGCUUUCUUCUGGGAAUAUGGAAGCCACUCUGGAAUGAGGGUCUUUUAUGACCCGCUUCAAGGGAAGUUCAGAAAAGUCCUUCCUGGAUUUUAGGACCAAAUUUGAGGGGAAGGUGAGAAUGACCUUCCUGCUUCUGCUAUAGUCUCCAAUGGCAAGGUGCCAUAUUUUGGGAGUAACAUGUCUUAAACCCCAUCAGACUGUAUUAUCUAAUCCUUGGUUUCCUCAUCUGC
rnacentral:lncRNA from 1 species